GAUGAACGCUGGCGGCGUGCUUAACACAUGCAAGUCGAACGGAAAGGCCCAAGCUUGCUUGGGUACUCGAGUGGCGAACGGGUGAGUAACACGUGGGUGAUCUGCCCUGCACUUCGGGAUAAGCCUGGGAAACUGGGUCUAAUACCGGAUAGGACGAUGGUUUGGAUGCCAUUGUGGAAAGUUUUUUCGGUGUGGGAUGAGCUCGCGGCCUAUCAGCUUGUUGGUGGGGUAAUGGCCUACCAAGGCGUCGACGGGUAGCCGGCCUGAGAGGGUGUACGGCCACAUUGGGACUGAGAUACGGCCCAGACUCCUACGGGAGGCAGCAGUGGGGAAUAUUGCACAAUGGGCGCAAGCCUGAUGCAGCGACGCCGCGUGGGGGAUGACGGCCUUCGGGUUGUAAACUCCUUUCGCUAGGGACGAAGCGUUUUUGUGACGGUACCUGGAGAAGAAGCACCGGCUAGCUACGUG
rnacentral:rRNA from 1 species